rnacentral:lncRNA from 1 species
GCUGUGUCUCUGAACCAAGGAGAUAAGGAAGUUCUGCUGAGUCUUUGUACCAAGGAAAUAGGAGGUCCUGCUUGGAAUUGGUCACUGAAUACGUAAUGUACUCUGAGAAGCUUCUGCAUAGGUGUUUGGGCUCCAUGCAACAAGACAGAGGCACAGAAAUGUAUUCUGCAGAAAUCUGAAGUUGAAAGAUCCAUAACCCCUACCAGGAAGAUAACUGUAGGAGGAAUGUGGUAUUCGGGAGCUAACUGAAAAAUUGUUCUCAUGGAAAGACUCUGUGUGUGCAGAGUGUAAAUAGUCAGUCUGUGCAUCAUUGUUUCUCUACCCUCAAAAAUAGUUUUAAGAUACUUUAAAAUAUUUAC